UACGUAGGGGCUAGCGUUGUCCGGAAUCAUUGGGCGGUAAAGAGCGUGUAGGCGGCCCGGUAAGUCCGCUGUAAAAGUCAAAGGCUCAACCUUUGAAUGUCAGUGGAUACUGCCGGGCUAGAGUCCGGAAGAGGCGAGUGGAACUCCUGGUGUAGCGGUGGAAUGCGCAGAUAUCAGGAAGAACACCAACGGCGAAGGCAGCUCGCUAGGACGGUACUGACGCUGAGACGCGAAAGCGUGGGGAGCGAACAGG
rnacentral:rRNA from 1 species